rnacentral:tRNA from 1 species
UGGGGUGUGGUGCAACUGGCAGCACGUCUGACUCUGGAUCAGAAGGUUCCAGGUUCGAGUCCUGGCACCCCAG